UACGGGGGGAGCAAGCGUUGUUCGGAUUUACUGGGCGUAAAGGGCGCGUAGGCGGCCACCGCAAGUCAGUUGUGAAAUCUCCGAGCUUAACUCGGAAAGGUCAACUGAUACUGCGGGGCUAGAGUGCGGAAGGGGCAACUGGAAUUCUUGGUGUAGCGGUGAAAUGCGCAGAUAUCAGGAGGAACACCGGUGGCGAAGGCGGGUCUCUGGGCCGAUACUGACGCUGAGGAGCGAAAGCGUGGGGAGCGAACAGGA
rnacentral:rRNA from 1 species